UUGAAGCUGUGCUAAGAGGCAAGUCUGGGGGUGAAGAAGUACUACAGGAGUACCAAACAACAGAAACCCUAACAGAUGCUGCAAGAAGAAAAAUGGUUAACAUCCUGGUGGCUCACAUGACUGACAAUCAUGGGUAUGUUUGUUUCACAUUGUUUUUAUUUGUGCCAAAUAACUGCAUGGCCAUUGCAUAAAUGUACUAAUUUAAUAUCUCCUCUCAGGCACCGCCCCACUAAAGCAAUCAGAGAAGAUUAUGCACGUGGGAUAGUGAUGUUGUUCCCUUCCCUCAAGGAUCCAUACUCCAAGAAGGGCUAUGAACACUUCUAUGAUGCUGCAAGCAGCACAGGAUACAUUUCUUGGCGUCUGAAAACAGUCCAGAGGAAGAUUCCUCGAGGAUCUGCACUGCCACCAAAUAGCCCAAUUGACUUUUCUCCAGGGGGCCCACAUUUCCAAAGGACUGUUAAUGUUGAAAGACAGCUUGAUGGUGAUGCUUGCCAAGAGGCCAUGUCUUUGCUCAACCAUACCACAGACAAUUCCCUGAUUUUCCAGAAGAUGAGAGAGACCUUUCAGCACCGUCAGAAGCUCGUUAAUGACCCAGGAAGAAGUGUUGAUAUCCUCUCCAUCUUCCCAAGAUUCCUGGAUACAAAAGGAUUGGUGGACCAAGACUUCACUCUCCUAUUUGAUGGCGACACAUCCUCCAGGCUUCUUCAGAAAUGGGAUUUGUUCUUCAAGCCAAAUGUCAUAAAAGAGGCUAAGCGGCUCACCUCAACACCAGAGUUGCGUCGCUUGGUGCAGUCAGCAGAAAGUCCCCCAGGAAGUGAUCUUGAUGAGGCAACAAGUGAGUUGUUUUUAUUUUUUUUUAUUUUAAUA